rnacentral:snRNA from 1 species
AUGCUCACUUUGGCAGCACAUAUACUAAAACUGGAACAACAUGGGGAUUAGCAUGGCUCCUGUGCAAGGAUGACAUGCAAAUUCAUGAAACAUUCCUUUUUUUU